rnacentral:rRNA from 1 species
UACGUAGGGUGCAAGCGUUAAUCGGAAUUACUGGGCGUAAAGCGCACGUAGGCGGCUCUUUAAGUCAGAGGUGAAAUCCUGGGGCUCAACCCCAGAACUGCCUUUGAUACUGAGGAGCUUGAGUCCGGGAGAGGUGAGUGGAACUGCGAGUGUAGAGGUGAAAUGCGUAGAUAUCGGGGAGGAACACCUGUGGCGAAGGCAGCUUCUUGGUCCAUACCUGACGCUGAUACACGAAAAGCGUGGGGGAGCAAACAGG